UUACAUUGCUAGAAGAUAAGCAUAUGUAUUGUGUAAUUUUCCCUUAUGUUAUGUAACUAUUUGGUUGUACUGUACUCAAUAUGGGCAGAUUACAUUGCUAGAAGAUAAGCAUAUGAUUAUUUUAGUCAAAAACUGCAGAAAGACAUUGCUUUAGGAGCCAUUUAACAUUGCAUUAAAAUUCUAAUGAGUUUGACACUUCCAUAAUCAUGUGCCCAGUAAUGCACAUGCACAACCUACUACAAGUUAAAUAUGACAAGUGCAUCAUAACCAUGUGUCCAGAGAUGCACAUGUACAAAAUAUAUCACAUCCUAUUACAAGUUACCUACGCCAAGGAUCAUAUCCAUGUGUCCAUAAAUGCACAUGCACAAAAUAUAUCUCAGUUUUAAGCUAGCCCUCCCCUAGUACGAAAUACUAGUUCAUUUGAUUAGGUAUUCCGAAUUUUUCCAGUCAACUAACCUAACCGUAAUUCGUUACUUGAAAAUGAUAGAAAUACUUCCCUGUUCUCCUUGUUGGCGGUGAAGAUGUCCGCUGCUUUUAGCAUAUCGGCCAUCGAAAGACCCUCCAACCUUUCAAGUGCUUUGAUGCAUUUCUUGAUGCUGAAGGGGUCCUUUAAUUUCCUCUCCUCAAUGGCUGCAUACCUAUCUAUUUCUUCCCUUCUGAAUUUCAGGUAUCUCUCAUGAAAAUCAUCAAUACUGGUCGUCUUUUGCUUUUUCGCUCUCUUCCUGCUAGUAACCUCAGGAGCUGAGCUAGAUGGUCGACGAUUGCGAUGUACAACUUGUGGAAUUUCAUGCAAGGUUUGUCCAACAUGUUGUGAGGAAAUUGGUAUUGCUUCAACUUGUGGAGCAUGUACUGUCAAGUCAUUUCCUUGAGCCGAGUUUGCCUCAACUUGUGGAGCAUGUACUGUCCGGUAUUUGGGAACAUCAUGAUCUCUUAAGAGUUCAAUGAGAUAUGCCUUCAUCUGAUGAUUCCACUUGGCUCUACCAGAAUUCUUAGCG
rnacentral:lncRNA from 1 species